AGUAUUUUUUUAGAUUCUUUUUUAUUGUUGAAAAAAUUAAAAACCAAUUGUUUUUUCCCAUAAUUAAAAUUUAUAAUAUUUGCAUUUUUAAUUUUUAGUUUCAAACAAAAAUUACAAAUAUGAAAAAUAAAAAAAGUUUGUUAUAAAUUAAAUUAAUUUAUUUAUAUUAAAAAUCUUUCUCAUAAUUUUUAUUUUUUUAUUUUUUUAAAAAAAAAAUAAUUUAACUAUAAUUAUUUAUUUAAAUUUAAUAAUUACAUAUAAAAUUUUUUAUUAAAUAAAUUUAAUAAUAAAUGUUUUUUAAAUUCUUUGAGGUUUUGAUUUUUGAUUUUUUGUUUCUGCUCAUUGUUAAAGAAAAGCCCUUUUAGCGGGAUUGGUCAAAGGUAGCGAGGCAAUUUGUU
rnacentral:rRNA from 1 species